rnacentral:lncRNA from 1 species
GGUACUGGUAUUGUACGCGUUCAUUACCAGUAUUGAACGCGUUCAUUACCAGACAAAGCAAUGGUUCCCAACUUUUCGGCGCUCACUACACAGCACCGACUGGGAACGCUGCGUCAGUUGUUUGGUGCAGAGUUAUAACGCGUAACGGAGAAAUUUGCCAGGAAAGUUUAGGGCUCGAAUUAGGAAAAUUAAAUAAGGAAUACAUCAUAGUACAUACAGUGUGUGUAUAAUCAUAAUGUAGUGUGCAGUGUGCACAUUGCACAAAAAAAUCUUUUCUCUAAUCGUAAUGAGAAUUAGGAUAUACCUACCUGAAAGGCUGAAAAGAGAAAAAAAAA